AUUGAACGCUGGCGGCAGGCUUAACACAUGCAAGUCGAGCGGAGAUGAGGUGCUUGCACCUUAUCUUAGCGGCGGACGGGUGAGUAAUGCUUAGGAAUCUGCCUAUUAGUGGGGGACAACAUUCCGAAAGGAAUGCUAAUACCGCAUACGUCCUACGGGAGAAAGCAGGGGAUCUUCGGACCUUGCGCUAAUAGAUGAGCCUAAGUCGGAUUAGCUAGGUGGGGGGGUAAAGGCCUACCAAGGCGACGAUCUGUAGCGGGUCUGAGAGGAGGAUCCGCCACACUGGGACUGAGACACGGCCCAGACUCCUACGGGAGGCAGCAGUGGGGAAUAUUGGACAAUGGGGGGAACCCUGAUCCAGCCAUGCCGCGUGUGUGAAGAAGGCCUUAUGGUUGUAAAGCACUUUAAGCGAGGAGGAGGCUACUGAGACUAAUACUCUUGGAUAGUGGACGUUACUCGCAGAAUAAGCACCGGCUAACUCUGUGCCAGCCGCCGCGGUAAAAC
rnacentral:rRNA from 1 species